rnacentral:rRNA from 1 species
GACGAACGCUGGCGGCGUGCUUAACACAUGCAAGUCGAACGGAAAGGCCCUGCUUGCAGGGUACUCGAGUGGCGAACGGGUGAGUAACACGUGGGUGAUCUGCCCUGCACUUCGGGAUAAGCCUGGGAAACUGGGUCUAAUACCGGAUAGGAGCCAUUUUUAGUGUGAUGGUUGGAACGUUUUUUCGGUGUAGGAUGAGCUCGCGGCCUAUCAGCUUGUUGGUGGGGUAAUGGCCUACCAAGGCGGCGACGGGUAGCCGGCCUGAGAGGGUGGACGGCCACAUUGGGACUGAGAUACGGCCCAGACUCCUACGGGAGGCAGCAGGGGGGAAUAUUGCACAAUGGGCGCAAGCCUGAUGCAGCGACGCCGCGUGGGGGAUGACGGCCUUCGGGUUGUAAACUCCUUUCGCUAGGGACGAAGCUUUUUGUGACGGUACCUAGAUAAGAAGCACCGGCUAACUACGUG